CACGUGUUUUUUUUGUGUGAAGAACUUUUCCUAGCUCACCAAGUCUCCUGCACUCUUUCUCUCUCUCUCUCUCUCUUACAAACAGAUAGAACCCAGAGAUGCCUGAGUCUGCAGACGUUCCUGCUCAGUGCCAAGUCCUCAAAGAGGAGGUGGAUAAAUGUGUCCAAGGGAAGGGCGCAGAGGCCUGUAAGGAGCUGAUGGAAGCUUUCGAGGCCUGUGUGAAAAGUGCCGUGGAAGCUUCAUGAGAAGAAAACUUCAGGUUCAUACCAAAGGUCCUCUUUCUUCGGGUCCUUCAGUAUCCCUGCAUUCCCUACUGCAUUUUGCGUUGGACUGGACCAUUAGAAAGACUGGCCAGGGGUGUUGGUGCUGCCAGAUUCUUGGAUUUGCUUUGUCUGGAUCAGAGAUGCCUCAAUGAUGGCUCUGAAAUUAUUGUCAAUGUCCUAUGCAAAUGUAGCAGCAAGAGCCCACGGGAUUUAGAUCCAAUAUGUCAGAACAAGUAUUUCUUUAUCUAAGAAAAAUGCAGUUCAUAUAAAUGAUUUUGGAAUAAAAUAUACUUUAAUUAUU